CCCUUAGAUGUCCUGGGCCGCACGCGCGCUACACUGAUGCAUGCAACGAGUUUAUAACCUUGGCCUGAAAGGUCUGGGUAAUCUUUUGAACGUGCAUCGUGAUAGGGAUAGAUUAUUGCAAUUGUUAAUCUUGAACGAGGAAUUUCUAGUAAACGCGAGUCAUCAGCUCGCAUUGAUUACGUCCCUGCCCUUUGUACACACCGCCCGUCGCACCUACCGAUUGAAUGGUUCGGUGAAGAUCUCGGACUUCGAUAUUUAUUCUUUAUUGAGUUUAUAUUGUGGGAAGUUAUCUAAACCUCAUCAUUUAGAGGAAGGUGAAGUCGUAACA
rnacentral:rRNA from 1 species